rnacentral:rRNA from 1 species
UUAAGUCCGUAACGAGCGCACCCUGUCCUUAGUUACCAGCACGUUAUGGUGGGCACUCUAAGGAGACUGCCGGUGACAAACCGGAGGAAGGUGGGGAUGACGUCAAGUCAUCAUGGCCCUUACGGCCUGGGCUACACACGUGCUACAAUGGUCGGUACAAAGGGUUGCCAAGCCGCGAGGUGGAGCUAAUCCCAUAAAACCGAUCGUAGUCCGGAUCGCAGUCUGCAACUCGACUGCGUGAAGUCGGAAUCGCUAGUAAUCGUGAAUCAGAAUGUCACGGUGAAUACGUUCCCGGGCCUU